rnacentral:rRNA from 1 species
GACGAACGCUGGCGGCGUGCUUAACACAUGCAAGUCGAACGAUGAACCCGGAGCUUGCCCUGGGGGACUAGUGGCGAACGGGUGAGUAACACGUGAGUAACCUGCCCUUGACUCUGGGAUAAGCGUUGGAAACGACGUCUAAUACCGGAUAGGACCUUGGAUCGCAUGAUCUGGGGUGGAAAGUUUUUUCGUUCUGGGAUGGACUCGCGGCCUGGCAGCCUCUUGGUAAGGUAAUGGCUCACCAAGGCGUCGAAGGGUAGCCGGCCUGAGAGGGUGACCGGACACACUGGAACUGAGACACGGCCCAGACACCUGCGAGAGGCAGGAGUGGGGAAUAUUGCACAAGGAGCGAAAGCCUGAGGCAGCAACGCCGCGUGCGGGAGGACGGCCUUCGGGUUGUAAACCGCUUUUAGUAGGGAAGAAGGGCUUCGGCUUGACGGUACCUGCAGAAAAAGGACCGGCUAACUACGUG